UACGUAGGGUGCGAGCGUUAAUCGGAAUUACUGGGCGUAAAGCGUGCGUAGGCGGUUCUGCAAGUCCGGUGUGAAAGCCCCGGGCUCAACCUGGGAAUGGCAGUGGAAACUAGGGGACUGGAAUCUGGCAGAGGGGGGUGGAAUGCCGCGUGUAGCAGUGAAAUGCGUAGAGAUGCGGCGGAACACCGAUGGCGAAGGCAGCCCCCUGGGCUGAGAUUGACGCUCAGGCACGAAAGCGUGGGGAGCAAACAGG
rnacentral:rRNA from 1 species